UACGAAGGGGGCUAGCGUUGUUCGGAAUCACUGGGCGUAAAGGGCGCGUAGGCGGCUUUAUAAGUCGGGGGUGAAAGCCUGUGGCUCAACCACAGAAUUGCCUUCGAUACUGUAGAGCUUGAGACCGGAAGAGGUAAGUGGAACUGCGAGUGUAGAGGUGAAAUGCGUUGAUAUCGGAAGGAACGCCGGUGGCGAAAGCGACGUGCUGGCCCUCUUCUGACGCUGAGGCGCGAAAGCCAGGGGAGCGAACGGG
rnacentral:rRNA from 1 species